GCGACCCCCACCCCCACGGCCAUCCUUCCUAAGAGAACAAAAUGAGAAUAAGAACAAAAAGGAGAAGGAGGGAAAAGAAGUUUAUCAUAACCAACUAAUGCAUCA
rnacentral:lncRNA from 1 species